AUUGAACGCUGGCGGCAUGCUUUACACAUGCAAGUCGAACGGUAACAGGUUAAGCUGACGAGUGGCGAACGGGUGAGUAAUGCAUCGGAACGUGCCCGAUCGUGGGGGAUAACGCAGCGAAAGCUGCGCUAAUACCGCAUACGAUCUGAGGAUGAAAGCGGGGGACCGUAAGGCCUCGCGCGAUCGGAGCGGCCGAUGUCAGAUUAGGUAGUUGGUGGGGUAAAGGCCCACCAAGCCGACGAUCUGUAGCUGGUCUGAGAGGACGACCAGCCACACUGGGACUGAGACACGGCCCAGACUCCUACGGGAGGCAGCAGUGGGGAAUCUUGCACAAUGGGCGAAAGCCUGAUACAGCGACGCCGCGUGAGCGAUGAAGGCCUUCGGGUUGUAAAGCUCUGUGGGGAGGGACGAAUAUGGCAUGGCUAAUAUCCAUGUUGAUGACGGUACCUCCUUAGCAAGCACCGGCUAACUCUGUGCCAGCAGCCGCAGUAA
rnacentral:rRNA from 1 species